CUGUUCCCAGAAUACUGCUGAGAAGAGAGAAAUAAGACAUAAAGGAUGGUUUUGACUCCGUAAGUAAUUUUUACCUUCAACUGUAGUUGUUUAUGUCAUUAAUGGUUUGGUUGCCAAUAAAACAGAUUGGAUAUUUAAACAAACAAAGCAAUAUUCUCAUUAAGUAGGCCACAAGCUUUGAUUUCACAACUGUUCCACAAUUGAUGGUGUUAGAUGAAAAGUCAGAGAAUUACCAAACUUAUUACUGUUCAUCCUGAGGGCAACAUACUGUACUGUAGCUACCAAAUGUCAUGGUGUAAAUCAAAUUAACUAUCGUCAUGCUACACUGAUUGAGUGCAGAUGCUGACUUUUUCUUACUCCUUUUUAGGGCACAAGUGACUUUGACAAUUGCAGUCACUAUACCCACCUCCUUUUUCCUGUCAACAGCACUUGUGGCAGCGAUUGUGGUGGCAGGAGUGGUAGUGUACAAGCGCAAUCGAAAAAGCGCACACGACUGUUGGUCAAAGGUCAUCUCCAUGGAGCCAAAUAACAACUGCUGAAACAAACAAGAGGCUUUUAUCAAGAUGAUGAAUCAUCCAAUUGUGAGUACAAUCUGUACUUCAUUAUUGUUGUGUUGAACAGGGAGGGACAGGAUGUCUAAGUCCCCUCUGGUGCAUUGGUGUGUGUGUGUGUCCAAUGUUGCAGCGUCCACUCUAGGAAGAAUAAGAGGCUGCUUAUUAAACUAUAUCUACAUCCAUAAAGCCUGCAAUAUGUGUGGCUAACAAUGAGCAGGUAGCAGAGUGGGGUCUUUUCAGAGCAGCUUCAUCUCUUCAAUACAACUUUUAUCACAAUCUGAGUUUCUGUUUUGGACCUCAAUAAAGUCCUCUAUAUUGUAACAUAUUGUUUGCAUUUAACUAAGUUGCAUGUUAUGUCUGUUUUGAUCAUAGCAUUAUUUUAUCUUAAAUAAGUAAGAAUGAAACUGAAAGAGUCAUUGCAUACCAGUGUUUUUCCACCACCCAUGGCACAGAAAUAAUAUACUAUAAGCUUAUAUAACGUGACAAAUAUGUCAAAAUAAAUAUGUACAUUAACAACCUCUAAACUUUCAGAUAUGCUCAUAACACUGGAUAACAACAGGACAGACAUGAUAACAGGUUUCUUGAGACUUUUACCUGUAUUGAGUAUUUCUACUGUGGUAAUGCAACUUUAACUUCUGUAAAAGAUCAAAGUACUUCCUCCACCACUGAUAACAACUGUAAAAUAGCAGACAUGACCCAAUCAAUGUUAUAUUGCUGCAGUGUGCUAAAACACACCCCUUGUGGCAGCCUCAUAUAAAUGGCUGAAAACUGAAACCAAUCACAAAGCUUCACACUGAAUCUGAACAAUAGAGCUGUUCCCAGAAUACGACCAAGAAGAGAGAAAUAAGAUAUCGAGGAUGGCUUGCGUUCUGGAAGGUUUAUCUUGUCACCUGACGUAUACUGGCACUGAAAUGGCAGUGCAGGCUAUGACUAUAUCCCCCGUGUGUGGGGUGGUAAUUGGAGUUGUGGCAGUGUCAGCGGUAGCAGGAGGAGUGGUAUUGAUAAACCACCUGGACAACAAAAACAAAAACGAAAACAAAAACAAAACCUGACUGGACUGAGUUUAUUCCUCUAAACCCAACUGCAGAACUAUUGAUGGAAUAAUAACUCUGUAAUAAAAACAAAGAUGACGUACA